CGCCUUAAUCAGAUAACAUCCCAAAUUUUCAGCCAGAGCUUCCCCCUCCUCGAUUCCACCUUCGCCUCCGUCUCUCUCUACACACAGACGACGAAACUCUCAGACCCCUAUCCUCCUGUUUUCCACAGUGCCCUUGGCCUGGAAUUCGGGAUAAGGUUAAGGAGUUACUCCCUAAGAACAUCUUUUUUCCAGCACAUUUUAACGUCGUCGUAACGAAGAAAGUGGAUCUGAUAUAAAAUAGCAAAAUGAGUGCGGAUCUGGUGGCAGCGAACACUCAUGGAAAUUUGGAUGAGCAGAUUGCUCAGCUCAUGCAGUGCAAACCCUUGUCGGAGCCCGAGGUUCUUACUCUUUUUAGGUUUUUUACGAGUUAUCGUAACUUUUCUCUCUUAUAUUUUUAUGGAUCUGAUAGGUAUAGUAGAUUUCUCAAUACGAAGAAAUGUGCGAUACUUGUUGCUUUCUGAGUAUAAUGGUGUUGGUCUUGUUAUAGAAUUAGAUAGUGGGGUGGGUGUUAUUUUUUUCCUUUUUUUCUUCUUUCUUUUUUUUUUUUUUGGAGAGAGUCAAGAUGAAUUUGGUAACAUUCGCUUAAGGUGCUAUUUUCUUGAUUGAUACAGUUGUUUCUAAAUGUUAAUGUGUUAAACUUAAAAGUGAGAUGAUGAAGACAUUUGGCAUAUGUGCAUAUCUGCAGAUGGGAAUCGGAAAAACUCUUUUCUAUGCGUUUUCGGGCAAUGUAGUAGGAUUUAGCAUGCUUAUUCGUGAAUGUAAAAGUUUUUUUCAUAUUAGUUUGAUUUGACCAUGG
rnacentral:lncRNA from 1 species